UGUGACAUGAAAACUGAACAGAAGCAUACAAUAAAGAGAGACAGGGUUCCAACAAUUCCGUGCUUCACUCAGAAGCAAGCAUUUAAGGACUAGCCGAGCCAAAUACUUCUACUUAUCAUGAUCUGAAUCGACCUGUUAUCCCAGCUCAACAAUGAAUUAUCGACAAAUAGUAAAAUACUAUGUUGCUAGAUCAAACCCAAGUUAUAAGACUCUUCACGAUCACUUGUUCGCCAUCACCCUCGUCACAUUUGUGUUUAAAUUAUUGUGCUUGUGUUCCAUUCAUUUACUCUAGUUUUCAUGCUAUUGUGCUAGGGAGGGAAAAAUGGAAAAUACACUACACAGAAAAAAGGGAAGGGAACAUAGUUUCAAACUUUCAACAGCAAAUCAAUUAAUCAACAGUAUAGUUAUAACUUAUGAAUCCAAACUAAUCUGAAAACAUAUCAGCAGCAAAAACUAAAUUGAAUUGAAUUCUAAAGUCAGAAUCCAAAUUAAAUUGAAUUCAGAAUUACAUCACCAUUCAACAAAUUGAAUAAAUAAUGUCUUCUGGCUGUUGUUCAUGUUCCAUCUUCAACACCCAGCAAAAAUAAAUUAACCUUCAACAAAAGUAACUCAAACA
rnacentral:lncRNA from 1 species